rnacentral:tRNA from 1 species
GUCUCUGUGUUGCAAUCGGUAAGCGCGUUCGUCUGUUAACCGAAAGGUUGGUGGUUCAAGCCCACCCAGGGAAG